GACGAACGCUGGCGGCGUGCUUAACACAUGCCAGUCGAACGGAAAGGCCCUGCUUUUGUGGGGUGCUCGAGUGGCGAACGGGUGAGUAACACGUGAGUAACCUGCCCUUGACUUUGGGAUAACUUCAGGAAACUGGGGCUAAUACCGGAUAGGAGCUCCUGCUGCAUGGUGGGGGUUGGAAAGUUUCGGCGGUUGGGGAUGGACUCGCGGCUUAUCAGCUUGUUGGUGGGGUAGUGGCUUACCAAGGCUUUGACGGGUAGCCGGCCUGAGAGGGUGACCGGCCACAUUGGGACUGAGAUACGGCCCAGACUCCUACGGGAGGCAGCAGUGGGGAAUAUUGCAGAAUGGGCGGAAGCCUGAUGCAGCAACGCCGCGUGCGGGAUGACGGCCUUCGGGUUGUAAACCGCUUUCGCCUGUGACGAAGCGUGAGUGACGGUAAUGGGUAAAGAAGCACCGGCUAACUACGUG
rnacentral:rRNA from 1 species